AUGGUCAUAUCAUGUUAAAACACCAGUUCCUGUAUGAGCACCAAAGUUAAGCAACAUUGAGCAUGGUCAGUACCAGGAUGGGUGACUGCUUGGGAAUAUCUGGUGCUGUAAG